rfam:Nomascus leucogenys chromosome 5, whole genome shotgun sequence.
NNUUCUACACAGGUUGGGAUCGGUGCAAUGCUGUGUUUCUGUAUGGUAUUGCACUUGUCCCGGCCUGUUGAGUUUGG